UCACCCCUGAGUGGAAACGCAGAGCCCACAGUCCCUAGGCCCUUGCUCUUGCCCCCUUUGCUUGUUAGAUCUGACUCUGCCUUGUGUGAGGACAGUGGCCUCCCGGGACUCCUUGGGAUUUCUAUAGUGUCUGGCUUAAUAGAAGACAGCUGGAUUCUCAUGUCAGUUUCCCUACUGGAUCUUGCUAUAUCACACACCAAGCAACUUCUGGAAAACUCAAGAAAACUCUCUUUGAGAAAAUGAAUUUGUAAAAGAGCAAAUAACUACUAGUGAUGAUGAUGAUGAUGAAGCCUCAAGGACCCCUGGAGGUCCUGCUAAGCUGCCCAGGCUGGCCCUGAAUCUGCAAUUCUCCUGCUGUCUCUGGAUUACAGGCACAUACCACCCUAUCUAUUAGUUUUGAGUCAAUGAUGAGAUCCCCACUCUCAGUCUUCACUUUGGUAAUCUGUGUUUUGUCUUUUUUGUGUGUUUACUCAAGACAGGGUCUCACUAAAUUGCCUAGGCUGGC